rnacentral:tRNA from 1 species
GGGUCAAUAGCUCAGUGGUAGAGUGCUCGUAGACAAGCGAGAGGUCGUAGGUUCGAUUCCUACUUGAUUUC